UACUUCCUGUGGUUGAAGGCGUGACAAACCGAGAAUUUCUACAUGAAGUGCGGACAUGUAAAGAUUCUGUGAUGGGAUACUUUUCUCUACGGUGCUGCUGUUCAACAUGAUUUAAGCUGAAGAAGGAACAUAUUUUCAUAUAAAGAUUUUCCGAUUUGGAUAAGAAAGCCCAUGGAUUAAAAAUUCCUGAUUCCUCCUUUUGCUUCGUAAGUUUCAAGCUUUCUCUUCACACAAGCAUUUCUCAGAAACAGUAACCGAGUGUCGGUGCUGGAUGUGAGGAUGGGACACACUUUGCUCAGUGUGCUGGGGUUUCUCUCUCUUAAUAUCCUCCUCCACUGUGGACACGCUCAAGAUGCUGUUCUGACCAUUGAGCCAAACUGGUCCACUUUCUUUACCGGAGAGUCUGUUACCUUCAUAUGUGACAUGAGGGACAGAAAAGACACCGAUUGGUAUUACACAAUCUGGGGCGGUCGUCUGAUAUUUCCCA